rnacentral:rRNA from 1 species
UGGGGAAUUUUGCACAAUGGGGGCAACCCUGAUGCAGCGACGCCGCGUGAUUUAGAAGGCCUCCGGGUUGUAAAAAUCUUUUGUAUAGGAAGAAAAUGACAGUACUAUACGAAUAAGGUCCGGCUAAUUACGUGCCAGCAGCCGCGGUAAUACGUAAGGACCGAGCGUUGUCCGGAAUCAUUGGGCGUAAAGGGUACGUAGGCGGUUAAAAAAGUUAGAAGUGAAAGGCUAUAGCUCAACUAUAGUAAGCUUUUAAAACUGUUUAACUUGAGAGAUGGAAGGGAAAGUGGAAUUCCUAGUGUAGCGGUGAAAUGCGCAGAUAUUAGGAGGAAUACCGGUGGCGAAGGCGACUUUCUGGCCAUUAUCUGACGCUGAGGUACGAAAGCGUGGGUAGCAAACAGG